rnacentral:lncRNA from 1 species
CCCUUUUCCCCUUGCUCCUCCAGCAGCACAAUGUGAACCACUGGCAAGGAGGGACGCCAAUAAGGCGUCUGAUAAGACCCAAACUCGCAGGUUCUCCUCUGGGCUCUCCUCCCAAUUCCUCCCCCAGCCUCCCUUUUGUUGCCCCCCAUCCACUCCUCCACUGUUUCUGGUCAGAAAGGGGCAGGCCUCCCAGGGGUAUCAACAAAACAUGGCAUAUCAAGUUGAGGAGGAGACAACAACCAGAAAGCCACUGGUCCCGCAUGGUUUUGGGAUGCUACCAAGUUUUUCAGAACCCUAGCCUUGAAGCCAAGCUCACCAAGGACCGAGAAAGGUUCCAUCACUCUCAAAGACACCUUAAUAUUC